AUGCGACCCGCCCCCGGGGUCACGAAAGCCAAUCCGCGCGCAGGCUUCUCGGCCCCGCCCCGGCGUCCUCUUCCGCACCGUCCCUCCCUCCGCCCACUCGAAGGUCAGUUUGUCAGGCGGCCAGGGGGAAUCCUGUGCGAGCAGCUGGCUGCUCUGCGGUUCUCCCGAGCGGCGCAGGCCCUGCUCCCUCCGGCCAACGGCGGCGGCUGCAGCGGCGGCAGGGCAGUCCCUCCGGGAGGCGCGGUGUGGGCCGAGCGGCUGCCGCGGAGCUUCGUGCCCAGCUCGGCGGCGGCGGCGGCGGCGGCGGCGGCGGCGGCCCCAAGAUGGUCCGCGGGCAGGUAUUCGACGUGGGCGGCGCUCCAGCAGCCUGCUACACCGGCGAGGGCUCCCCCGACGUGGUGUGGAUUUGUGGGGCUUGGAAUAAACAGAGUUUAUGCCAAAAGUUCAUUGAGUAAAAAUCUUAUAAAAAUGCUCUCAAAAGCUGUGGAUGCUUUAAAAUCUGAUAACAAAGUGCAGACCAUAACAGAAGUGAAGUCCCAGGGAUACUCUGUGCUGAUAACCGUGCCGUGCCCUAGGACCGACUCCAGGUUGGGAUUCGGUGUCACAUGUAUACUCCUCCUUGUGGAUGCACUGCUUCUGGGUUCAUGGCUUGCCUGCGGUGACCUUAAGGAAAGAGUAAAAAUGAAUUCCGAUGGAGUUGCCCCUUUUGUCUCCAAAAUAAGAGCAGUGAUUAAUGAAAUCGCUUGUGGGCCAUCCUGUGUCCUCUGGCUCAGACCUUCUCCCGGGCCAAGAUGAAACAAACCCAACAAGAGAAGUCAUAUGCACUCAAUUUCUCUCCUUGGUGGCUAACUUUGCCUCGUUCCCCUCUCACCUCACGCCAGCCUACGUCAUCUGGGCCUCACCAGGUUGGAAAACCUCCGGGCCUGGGCUUUCUCCCAGGAAGAGGUGACAUACAGAGGGAAGAUCAUGUGAGGACCGGGGAAAGGGCGGCUGUCUUAAAAGUCAAGGAGAGUGGCCUCAGGAGAAGCCACCCUGCCCUUCGAAUUCUAGCCUCCAGAACUGAGAAGGAAUAAACAUCUGUCGGUUCAGACCCCAUUCUGGGGUGUUUUGUUACGCAGCCUGAGAAAAGUAACACCCUGUCUGAACUAAUACACUGUCGUGCAAAUGCACUCCCUCCAGCCGGCUCUGCAUCCCCACGCAGCAGGGGAACUGGACUUCAGGAUGCUUGGAUCUCACCCAGGCUGUCAGGUGUAUGGUGGCUGAUGAAGAGAAUAUCGGCCAGCAAAGUGCCAGUUCUGGAUUAUGGUCUGUUAACCACAGAUGCCGAGACGUUGACAGAUGCCCAGAUGUUGACAGAUGCCCUGAAUAAUCAGAAUUUUAGAGUCGUUACUGUGGGUGAAUCUUGCUCCAUGACGUCCAGAAAUGCAGCUCGCAGCAGGAUUUCACUGCCACUGGUCCAGAAAGCCACAUCAGCCGUUCUUCUUAUAGGAACCCCAGCUCUGGGAAGGCCUGAAGAGGCAUCAACAUCCUUAUACUUUGGGCUUUAAAAAAAGAACUGAAUCGAUCACUGUUUUUGUAAUUUUUAAUUUUAAAUUUGAUGCCCCAGAUGCCAUAAGAGCACAUUGGGAAUUUCUAGACAGCUGUUCAUGAUUAAAUACAUCUUUUGCCAUGGCUGCUUUUAUCUGUUUACAUGUGAGCCUUAGCCAUGCUUAUAGUUGUAUAUAAAAAAUAGCAUCUACCAUUAUUAUAAGAUGUUCAUAUUUAGUACACAUUUGUAAUAUUCUUCAUAUUUGUGUUCUUAAGGUUUUUCUAUAGUCUUAACUUUCAAUUAUCUAGUUUAUUUUACAUCUCCCUAGGAUUGGGGUUGAAUCUCCUCUGUACCUUUUAGACUACAUUACAUAACUCCUCUCUCUUCCUCUUUCACUUCAAAAUCCACAUUUGGGAAGGUAGAGGGGUGGGUACAGCUCAGUGAUAGAGCACUGUGCUUAGCGUGCACAAGGUCCUGGGUUCAAUUCCCAGUACCUCCACUAAUAACAACAAAUGUAAAUACAAAAUCCACAUUUGGGAAGGUAGAGAGAAAAUAGAAGUUAUGUGCAGACCAGGGGGGAUAUCUGCUCUGAAUGGAAGAAUAAGGCAUUUGUUUGAUGCCCUAUUUAGCUUUUACAGCUCUAAGAGGCAGAUGGGGUAUGGAGUAAUUAAAAGGCUGGGAAGGAAAAAUGAAGGAUGAAACACUAUUAAGGGUCAGUGUAACCUGGGGAAGCCCUGUCUGUGAAGGAGCGCCCAGUCAAAAAAAAAAAAAAAAUACAGGCUUG